CCUACGGGUGGCAGCAGUGAGGAAUAUUGGUCAAUGGACGAGAGUCUGAACCAGCCAAGUAGCGUGAAGGAUGACUGCCCUAUGGGUUGUAAACUUCUUUUAUAUGGGAAUAAAAUGUUCCACGUGUGGGAUUUUGUAUGUACCAUAUGAAUAAGGAUCGGCUAACUCCGUGCCAGCAGCCGCGGUAAUACGGAGGAUCCGAGCGUUAUCCGGAUUUAUUGGGUUUAAAGGGAGCGUAGGUGGAUUGUUAAGUUAGUUGUGAAAGUUUGCGGCUCAACCGUAAAAUUGCAGUUGAAACUGGCAGUCUUGAGUAAGGUAGAGGUGAGCGGAAUUCGUGGUGUAGCGGUGAAAUGCUUAGAUAUAACGAAGAACACCGAUUGCGAAGGCAGUUCACUGGACUGCAACUGACACUGAGGCUCGAAAGUGUGGGUAUCAAACAGGAUUAGAUACCCUAGUAGUC
rnacentral:rRNA from 1 species